GACGAACGCUGGCGGCGUGCUUAACACAUGCAAGUCGAACGGAAAGGCCCUGCUUGCAGGGUACUCGAGUGGCGAACGGGUGAGUAACACGUGGGUGAUCUGCCCUGCACUUCGGGAUAAGCUUGGGAAACUGGGUCUAAUACCGGAUAGGAGCCAUCUUUAGUGUGGUGGUUGGAAAGUUUUUUCGGUGUAGGAUGAGCUCGCGGCCUAUCAGCUUGUUGGUGGGGUAAUGGCCUACCAAGGCGGCGACGGGUAGCCGGCCUGAGAGGGUGUACGGCCAAAUUGGGACUGAGAUACGGCCCAGACUCCUACGGGAGGCAGCAGUGGGGAAUAUUGCACAAUGGGCGCAAGCCUGAUGCAGCGACGCCGCGUGGGGGAUGAAGGCCUUCGGGUUGUAAACUCCUUUCGCUAGGGACGAAGCUUUGUUGUGACGGUACCUAGAUAAGAAGCACCGGCUAACUACGUG
rnacentral:rRNA from 1 species